rnacentral:rRNA from 1 species
CACGUAGGGCGCAAGCGUUGUCCGGAAUUAUUGGGCGUAAAGAGCUCGUAGGCGGUCUGUUGCGUCUGCUGUGAAAACCCGGGGCUUAACCCCUGGCUUGCAGUGGAUACGGACAGACUAGAGGUAGGUAGGGGAGAAUGGAAUUCCCGGUGUAGCGGUGAAAUGCGCAGAUAUCGGGAGGAACACCGGUGGCGAAGGCGGCAUCCUGGACCGAAAUUGACGCUGAGGCGCGAAAGCCAGGGGAGCAAACGGG